AUACCCAUGGUGAGGACAUGCAUUUAAGAGGUCUUUGAAACAUUCCCAACACUGAUAAAAUGUUUCCACAUCAUUUUGGCAAAAAUUCAUGAUAUGUCUUUUCAAAGUAU